CCUACGGGUGGCAGCAGUGAGGAAUAUUGGUCAAUGGGCGCGAGCCUGAACCAGCCAAGUCGCGUGAGGGAUGACGGCCCUACGGGUUGUAAACCUCUUUUGCCGGGGAGCAACGGGCGCCACGUGUGGCGCCCCUGAGAGUACCCGGAGAAAAAGCAUCGGCUAACUCCGUGCCAGCAGCCGCGGUAAUACGGAGGAAGCGUGCGUUAUCCGGGUUGAUUGGGUUUAAAGGGUGCGUAGGCGGGCUUUUAAGUCAGCGGUAAAAAUUGGGGGCUCAACCCCGUCCGGCCGUUGAAACUGGGGGCCUUGAGUGGGCGAGAAGAAGGCGGAAUGCGUGGUGUAGCGGUGAAAUGCAUAGAUAUCACGCAGAACCCCGAUUGCGAAGGCAGCCUUCCGGCGCCCUACUGACGCUGAGGCACGAAAGUGCGGGGAUCGAACAGGAUUAGAUACCCUUGUAGUC
rnacentral:rRNA from 1 species